GUAAACUAAUUAAUUUUUCAAAAAGAAAGGAAAUUGUGAUUGUCUAACGAAAUUGGCUAACCGAUAGCAACCAUUACCAGUCGAUGGGUCUUUCGCAGCUCAAGUGCGCUAGUGUUGAGCUUUCUCGGCUUUGGACCACAAAUUUGGGCUUUCGACCGAACCAGGAAUAGUCUAUCAAUCAACUGUAUGCCCAAUUGAUCGGUUGGAAAGAGUUUUAAUUUUGAAAAGGAAUUAAUCUGGAUGGCUUUUCGAACCAUUUUGGGGUAGAGGAAAGUUAAACUGUCGGUCGUAAGCCUCCUCCACCGAUCAGCAGGC
rnacentral:lncRNA from 1 species